UCAAAAUUAUCAUUGUUUAUGACUUGAUUUUAUAAACUUAACUAGUUGACUGACUUGAGGAUAAUCUAGAACAUUUGGUAGCGUGAGUGUUCCUGGCAAUAGCCUGUUAUCACAAAUCAUUGAACUUUUGGAAAAUUUUUAAUACGUGUUUUAUUAUUUCCAGCAGCCUCCCUUCACGGUUCAACUCAAUCAGCGACCUGAUUGAUGAGACUAUUAAUAAAGCAUUUAAAUUCUACUCAUCGCACACAAUUUAGGCGCUUAGAAGAAAACUGACGUAGACGUGACGCUCGUAUAAAGUGCUCACAUUAUGUGGCUUAAAGUCAAAGGACAAAUAUUUAUAGAUAUUGAAUGAAAGAAUUUAGACAGAAUACAAAUUUAAAGGAUCAAUAACGAAAUUUACGAUACAGUACACGUUUUGUACUCAUUCUGUUGAAGACGAAAAUAAAAUACGAAGUUUAAAAGGACCAUGUGAUUCUUUAAAUUGAUGCUUGUCUAUAGAAUGAGAUAGAU